CCCAUUUAAUGUCAUCCUCACUACUCAUCAAGAUCGAGUUGACAGUUGGACACCCAUCAUUAGAGGAGAUGGUGGUAAAGGUGGUGAAUUUAACCCGUUUCCUCUUAGAGCAUAUUAGACACUGAAGAAUCCACACCAGACAGACUCCUGGCUGGAUGAGCAGAUUCUUUGCUGUCUAAAAUAAGCUGGUAGGGCCACAUGUCGUGAACCAGAGUGGUAUCCUUCUACAACACAAUACAUGUGGGCAAUAAUACCUGCUUUGGAGACUGGAGCAGCUCUUGUGCUACUGCUGUAGCAAAGAUGGCCUUAUUGCUUCCUGGACUAAGCUGCAGGGAAAGCGACAAUCCAGUCACCAGCUGCACUCCCAGGCCAUCAUUUCUCUGCACUGCAAGAAGAACUAUAUGUGAAAAGCUGCCAGUGAGAUGAUGCAUAGGUUUAGGUGAGUGACUUCAGAGCGGGAACACUAAGGCACAGCCACAUAUACAGCGGCCAUAUUGGCUGAAACUAACGAAGCUAAAUCUGCACCCCUAGAGAACGUUGCUUAGUUGUCGCUAAUCAGUCAGUCUUCUAACAUCAUUCUGUAUGUGCCAAUUAUUAUUAUUGCUUUGUGCAUCUUCUGAAAUAUACCCUAACAUUUAUAUUUUCUAACAUGCUCCUUGAGCUUGCAAGGCAUGCAGGAGUUUGAUCCCAUGGGACUUAAGAUUCCAGCAACAGCUCCUCAAAAAAGCACUAGUUAAUUUUUACUUUACCCUUCGCUCUGUCAAUGUAGGCUUUGAGAAGACCAAGCUGUUUCACCAGCUGCAUGCCUUGUGAUAGCCCAUAUACUGGCUCAUGGUUCAAAAAAAGCCUUAGACAAAAACAAUCAGAAAAAGCCUUCAAGAUUACAGGUUGGACUAAAUUUCCUAAAACUGCAAUCUAUGUUACUUCAGGGCACAAGAUAAGAAGAAGAAACCAUCUCUUCUGUGUCUUCCAGUCCUUGCUGCAAUUCUGCUCCAUUCAAAAAUUGUAGCUCCAAUUUCUGUUGCUAAUGCAAGAAGCUGCUAUACACCUCAUCGAGUACCUCAGUACCCAAGGUAGUGAGUUAAUGGAGGAAAAGGAGUAAGUAAUUAAUUUUCCCUACCUGAAUCGUCGUCAUUCCGAGCUCCUGCCCAAUCAAAACCUGUCCAUCCUGCAGCUUAGCAAUUCUUGGCUCCUCCACCUGCAUGAAGUCACUCACCAGGUUGGUAAUGUCAAUCUGCCAGUCAGAACCCAGUAAAUAGCUCAGCUGGCCACCGGGGUCUGAGGCUUCAGCCACAAACUGUGUGAGGACUCGCACCAUUGCAUGUUGGUACUGAAGGGUACAGCCUCUUCCCUUACGUUCAUCCUCUUCUUCAUCAUCACUGUCCCUGGCUGGUCUGGUAGAACACCAAGAACAAAAAAAUUAAUUUAAACUGAUGCUGGGAGAGCUUGCAACAGGAGAGCUAUUGCUGAUGUAAGUCUGCAGCAUAGUUACUGGAACAAGGGGGCCUCUGCCCCCUUCUGUUGCUCUGCUGAUGCUGCUCCAUUCAGUGCAUUUCUGAAAUCAGUGGUGUUCCCCCAAUUCUAUCGUGUUUCCCUUGUCCAUAACUGAGACCCCCAGGCUGCUCAGAUGUCCAAAACAGCUGCUGAAAUCAUCAACUGCUAGCUUCUCUACCACAUUGUCCACUCCAAAUAUCGCUCAUUAUUUUUCACGUUAGUCCUUAUUUUGAAGGCCUUUUCUUUUCUUUGAAGACUUUUUUCUUUAUGGACCUUCUUUGUGUUGCCAUGGAAAU